rnacentral:tRNA from 1 species
UCCAUGGUGGCUCAGACAGUAAAGAAUCUGCCUGCAAAGCAGAAGAUCUGAGUUCGAUCCCUAGGUCUGGAA